GCAGUUGAACGAGAAAGUAUCUUCGGAUGCGAGUACAGUGGCGGACGGGUGAGUAAUACAUAGGAAUCUACCCAAUGGAGGGGGAUAGCUCGAGGAAACUCGAAUUAAUACCGCAUAAUCUCCACGGAGUAAAGAGGGCUUCGGCUCUUGCCAUCGGAUGAGCCUAUGCAAGAUUAGCUUGUUGGUAAGGUAAUGGCUUACCAAGGCUACGAUCUUUAGCUGGUUUGAGAGGACGACCAGCCACAUCGGGACUGAGACACGGCCCGGACUUCUACGGAAGGCAGCAGUAGGGAAUAUUGGACAAUGAGCGAAAGCUUGAUCCAGCCAUGCCGCGUGUGCGAUGAAGACCUUCGGGUUGUAAAGCACUUUAGGUUAUGAGAAAAGAUUUGGUAUUAAUACCACCAAAUUUUGAUGUUAAUUACAGAAUAAGCACCGGCUAAAUCCGUGCCAGCAGCCGCGGUAAUACGGAUGGUGCAAGCGUUAAUCGGAAUUACUGGGCGUAAAGCGCGCGUAGGUGGCCUAUCAAGUUAGAUGUGAAAUCCCGGGGCUUAACCUCGGAACUGCAUCUAAAACUGAUAAGCUAGAGUACUAGAGAGGAAAGUAGAAUUCUUAGUGUAGCGGUGGAAUGCGUAGAUAUUAAGAGGAAUACCAAUGGCGAAGGCAACUUUCUGGAUAGAUACUGACACUGAGGCGCGAAAGCGUGGGGAGCAAACAGGAUUAGAUACCCUGGUAGUCCACGCCGUAAACGAUGAUAACUAGCCGUUGGAAUUUUCAGUGGCGCAGCUAACGCAAUAAGUUAUCCGCCUGGGGAGUACGGCCGCAAGGCUAAAACUCAAAUGAAUUGACGGGGACCCGCACAAGCGGUGGAGCAUGUGGUUUAAUUCGAUGCAACGCGAAAAACCUUACCUACACUUGACAUACUUUGAAUUUUUUAGAGAUAAAAAAGUGCCUUCGGGAACGAAGAUACAGGUGCUGCAUGGCUGUCGUCAGCUCGUGUCGCGAGAUGUUGGGUUAAGUCCUAUAACGAGCGCAACCCUUACCCUUAUUUGCCAGCGGUUCGGCCGGGAACUAUAAGGGAACUGCCGGUAAUAAGCCCGGAGGAAGGUGGGGGACGACGUCAAGUCAUCAUGGGCCCUUACG
rnacentral:rRNA from 1 species